AGGACGAACGCUGGCGGCGUGCUUAACACAUGCAAGUCGAGCGAGGCCCUUCCUUCGGGAAGGUGCCCUAGCGGCGAACGGGUGAGUAACACGUGGGCAACCUGCCCCUAGCACUGGGAUAACCCCGGGAAACCGGGCUAAUACCGGAUACGACCUCGAGAGGCAUCUCUCGUGGUGGAAAAAAGGUUACUGGCUAGGGAUGGGCCCGCGGCCUAUCAGCUUGUUGGUGGGGUAAUGGCCCACCAAGGCGACGACGGGUAGCCGGCCUGAGAGGGCGACCGGCCACACUGGGACUGAGACACGGCCCAGACUCCUACGGGAGGCAGCAGUGGGGAAUAUUGCACAAUGGGCGAAAGCCUGAUGCAGCGACGCCGCGUGAGGGAUGACGGCCUUCGGGUUGUAAACCUCUUUCAGCUCCGACGAAGCGAAAGUGACGGUAGGGCGAGAAGAAGCGACCGGCCAACUACGCGCCAGCAGCCGC
rnacentral:rRNA from 1 species